rnacentral:rRNA from 1 species
GAGUUUGAUCAUGGCUCAGGAUAAACGCUGGCGGCGUGCAUAACACAUUCAAGUCGAACGGUGACGGUUCCUUCGGGAGCCUGAUCAGUGGCGGACGGGUGAGUAACGCGUGAGUAACCUGCCUUCCGAUGGGGGAUAACGUUCGGAAACGGACGCUAAUACCGCAUGACACGUGCUGACCGCAUGAUCGGUACGUCAAAGAUUUAUUGUCGGAAGAUGGGCUCGCGUUGGAUUAGAUAGUUGGCGGUGUAAGGGACCACCAAGUCUGCGAUCCAUAGCCGGACUGAGAGGUUGAACGGCCACAUUGGAACUGAGAGACGGUCCAGACUCCUACGGGAGGCAGCAGUGGGGAAUAUUGGGCAAUGGGCGAAAGCCUGACCCAGCGACGCCGCGUGAAGGAAGAAGGUUUUCGGAUUGUAAACUUCAGUAAGCAGGGACGAAGGAAGUGACGGUACCUGCAGAGUAAGCCACGGCUAACUACGUGCCAGCAGCCGCGGUAAUACGUAGGUGGCGAGCGUUAUCCGGAAUUACUGGGUGUAAAGGGUGUGUAGGCGGGGCGAUAAGUCUGAUGUGAAAAUUAGAGGCUCAACUUCUAACGUGCAUUAGAAACUACCGUUCUUGAGAGUCGGAGGGGUGAACGGAAUUCCCGGUGUAGCGGUAAUAUGCGUAGAUAUCGGGAAGAACACCAGCGGCGAAGGCGGUUCACUGGACGACAACUGACGCUGAGACACGAAAGCGUGGGGAGCAAACAGGAUUAGAUACCCUGGUAGUCCACGCCCUAAACGAUGAAUGCUAGGUGUGGGUACGAACUGUAUCCGUGCCGCAGCCAACGCAAUAAGCAUUCCACCUGGGGAGUACGGCCGCAAGGUUAAAACUCAAAGGAAUUGACGGGAGCCCGCACAAGCAGUGGAGUAUGUGGAUUAAUUCGACGCAACGCGAAGAACCUUACCAGGACUUGACAUCCUGCGAACCUGGUGUAAAUGCCGGGGUGCCUUUCGAGGAGCGCAGAGACAGGUGGUGCAUGGUUGUCGUCAGCUCGUGUCGUGAGAUGUUGGGUUAAGUCCCGCAACGAGCGCAACCCUUACGGUUAGUUGCUACGCAAGAGCACUCUGGCCGGACUGCCGUUGACAAAACGGAGGAAGGUGGGGACGACGUCAAAUCAUCAUGCCCCUUACGUUCUGGGCCUCACACGUACUACAAUGGCGCAAACAAAGGGAAGCGAAGCCGCGAGGCAGAGCAAAACCCAAAAAAGGCGUCUCAGUUCGGACUGCAGGCUGCAACUCGCCUGCACGAAGUUGGAAUUGCUAGUAAUCGCGGAUCAGCAUGCCGCGGUGAAUACGUUCCCGGGCUUUGUACACACCGCCCGUCAAACCAUGAAAGUUGGGGACACCCGAAGUCAGUGAGCUAACCGCAAGGGGGCAGCUGCCGAAGGUGGAUUCAAUGAUUGGGGUUAAGUCGUAACAAGGUACC